UACGUAGGGGGCAAGCGUUGUCCGGAAUCAUUGGGCGUAAAGCGCGUGUAGGCGGCUCGAUAAGUCUGCUGUGAAAGUCCAAGGCUCAACCUUGGGAUGCCGGUGGAUACUGUCGAGCUCGAGUCCGGGAAGAGGAGUGUGGAAUUCCUGGUGUAGCGGUGAAAUGCGCAGAUAUCAGGAGGAACACCAAUGGCGAAGGCAGCACUCUGGGACGUGACUGACGCUGAGACGCGGAAAGCGUGGGGAGCAAACAGG
rnacentral:rRNA from 1 species